rnacentral:rRNA from 1 species
AGAGUUUGAUCCUGGCUCAGGAUGAACGCUAGCGGCAGGCUUAACACAUGCAAGUCGAGGGGUAUAAUUCUUCGGAAUUAGAGACCGGCGCACGGGUGCGUAACGCGUAUGCAAUCUACCUUUUACAGCGGGAUAGCCCAGAGAAAUUUGGAUUAAUACCUCAUAGCAUAGCAGCUUCGCAUGAAGCCGCUAUUAAAGUCACAACGGUAAAAGAUGAGCAUGCGUCCCAUUAGCUAGUUGGUAAGGUAACGGCUUACCAAGGCUACGAUGGGUAGGGGUCCUGAGAGGGAGAUCCCCCACACUGGUACUGAGACACGGACCAGACUCCUACGGGAGGCAGCAGUGAGGAAUAUUGGACAAUGGGCGCAAGCCUGAUCCAGCCAUGCCGCGUGCAGGAUGACGGUCCUAUGGAUUGUAAACUGCUUUUAUACGAGAAGAAACACUCCAACGUGUUGGAGCUUGACGGUAUCGUAAGAAUAAGGAUCGGCUAACUCCGUGCCAGCAGCCGCGGUAAUACGGAGGAUCCAAGCGUUAUCCGGAAUCAUUGGGUUUAAAGGGUCCGUAGGCGGUUUAAUAAGUCAGUGGUGAAAGCCCAUCGCUCAACGGUGGAACGGCCAUUGAUACUGUUAAACUUGAAUUAUUAGGAAGUAACUAGAAUAUGUAGUGUAGCGGUGAAAUGCUUAGAGAUUACAUGGAAUACCAAUUGCGAAGGCAGGUUACUACUAAUUGAUUGACGCUGAUGGACGAAAGCGUGGGUAGCAAACAGGAUUAGAUACCCUGGUAGUCCACGCCCUAAACGAUGGAUACUAUGCGUAGGAGGUAUCGACCCCUCCUGUGCCGCAGCAAACGCAUUAAGUAUCCCGCCUGGGGAGUACGGCCGCAAGGUUGAAACUCAAAUGAAUUGACGGGGACCCGCACAAGCGGUGGAGCAUGUGGAUUAAUUCGAUACUAACCGAAGAACCUUACCCACUCUUGACAUUGAAGGAAAGCUCUAGAGAUAGAGCCCUCUCUCACAAGGAGACCUGAAAACAGAUGUUGCAUGGCUGUCGUCAGCUCGUGCCGUGAGGUGUACGGUUAAGUCCGCAAACGAGCGCAACCCUCGUUCUGUGUUACCAGCGAGUAAUGUCGGGCACUCACAGGAGACCGCCGGUGUAAGCCGGAGAAAGGUGGGGAUGAUGUCAAGUCAGCAUGGCUCUUACGAGUGGGGCUUCACACAUGCUACAAUGGGCGCAACAAAGGGCAGCGAUACCGCGAGGUGGAGCAAAUCCCAAAAAUACGUCCUCAGUUCAGAUUGCAGUCUGCAGCUCGACUGCAUGAAGGCGGAAUCGCUAGUAAACGCAGGUCAGCUAUACUGCGUUGAAUACGUUCCCGGGUCUUGUACACACCGCCCGUCAAGUCACUUGAAUUGUCUUCACCCGAAGUCCGUGGCCUAACCCGCAAGGGAAGGAGCGGCCGAAGGUGAGGGGGGUAAGAGGGACUAAGUCGUAACAAGGUA